rnacentral:rRNA from 1 species
GACGAACGCUGGCGGCGUGCAUAACACAUGCAAGUCGAACGAGACCUUCGGGUCUAGUUGGCGCACGGGUGCGUAACGCGUGGGAAUCUGCCCUUGGGCUCGGAAUAACUCGCCGAAAGGCGUGCUAAUACCGGAUGAUGUCGUAAGACCAAAGAUUUAUCGCCCAGGGAUGAGCCCGCGUAAGAUUAGGUAGUUGGUGAGGCAAAGGCUCACCAAGCCGACGAUCUUUAGCUGGUCUGAGAGGAUGAUCAGCCACACUGGGACUGAGACAAGGCCCAG